GCAGACACAUUCCAGCCAAUCAGCAGCAGACCCUCCCUCCCAGACCCUCCCAACUCCUGGACAGCAUCCAUUUUGAAGCUGUAUUCUUAGUGAGCUGUCCAGGAGGUGGGAGGGUCUGGGAGGGAGGGUCUGCUGCUGAUUGGCUGGAAUGUGUCUG